rnacentral:rRNA from 1 species
UCCUACGGGAGGCAGCAGUGAGGAAUAUUGGACAAUGGUCGAAGGACUGAUCCAGCCAUGCCGCGUGCAGGAUGACUGCCCUAUGGGUUGUAAACUGCUUUUAUACGGGAAGAAAAACACCUACGUGUAGGUGACUGACGGUACCGUAAGAAUAAGGACCGGCUAACUCCGUGCCAGCAGCCGCGGUAAU